rnacentral:rRNA from 1 species
GAGUUUGAUCCUGGCUCAGGAUGAACGCUGGCGGCGUGCUUAACACAUGCAAGUCGAGCGAAGCAUUUUGAAGUCUUCGGACAGAUGAGUGACUGAGCGGCGGACGGGUGAGUAACGCGUGGGUAACCUGCCUCAUACAGGGGGAUAACAGUUAGAAAUGACUGCUAAUACCGCAUAAGCGCACAGUACUGCAUGGUACGGUGUGAAAAACUCCGGUGGUAUGAGAUGGACCCGCGUCUGAUUAGGUAGUUGGUGAGGUAACGGCCCACCAAGCCGACGAUCAGUAGCCGACCUGAGAGGGUGACCGGCCACAUUGGGACUGAGACACGGCCCAAACUCCUACGGGAGGCAGCAGU